UUUUCCUACGGGGCGCAGCAGUGGGGAAUAUUGCACAAUGGGGGAAACCCUGAUGCAGCGACGCCGCGUGAGUGAGGAAGUAUUUCGGUAUGUAAAGCUCUAUCAGCAGGGAAGAAAAUGACGGUACCUGACUAAGAAGCCCCGGCUAACUACGUGCCAGCAGCCGCGGUAAUACGUAGGGAGCAAGCGUUAUCCGGAUUUACUGGGUGUAAAGGGCGCGUAGGCGGGAUGGCAAGUCAGAUGUGAAAUCCAGGGGCUCAACCCCUGAACUGCAUUUGAAACUGUCGUUCUUGAGUAC
rnacentral:rRNA from 1 species